AGUGAACGCUGGCGGUAGUCCUAACACAUGCAAGUCGAACGGCAGCACAGUAAGAGCUUGCUCUUACGGGUGGCGAGUGGCGGACGGGUGAGGAAUACAUCGGAAUCUACUUUUUCGUGGGGGAUAACGUAGGGAAACUUACGCUAAUACCGCAUACGACCUACGGGUGAAAGCAGGGGGUCUUCGGACCUUGCGCGAUUGAAUGAGCCGAUGUCGGAUUAGCUAGUUGGCGGGGUAAAGGCCCACCAAGGCGACGAUCCGUAGCUGGUCUGAGAGGAUGAUCAGCCACACUGGAACUGAGACACGGUCCAGACUCCUACGGGAGGCAGCAGUGGGGAAUAUUGGACAAUGGGCGCAAGCCUGAUCCAGCCAUACCGCGUGGGUGAAGAAGGCCUUCGGGUUGUAAAGCCCUUUUGUUGGGAAAGAAAAGCAGCAGGUUAAUACCCCGCUGUUCUGACGGUACCCAAAGAAUAAGCACCGGCUAACUUCGUG
rnacentral:rRNA from 1 species